UUUCGUUUCUCUCUCUUCCCCCGUUUUCUCUCUCCUCCUGCAAAUCCCCUCAACCCAAUUGGGGUUUGUUCAUCUCCGAUCCUCUAAUUCCUUCACCUUUGCGAUUUUCCUCUUUCAAUUUGCUAGGUACCUAUGCGAUUUUCCCUCUUUCAAUUCAUCAGAUAAAUUACCUUGUUUCUUUGAAUCUUGAAUCUUUUCUCUGAAUUUUCUGCUCGAGGCAGUUUACUUCUAUGUUUUCUCACAAGUGGUAUGGUGUUACUUGUGGCCGCAAGUACGAGCGAGUCUCGAUACUUGACCUGCAUUCCUCCAACACAGGUAUACUCUCACCCCAUAUUGGAAAUUUAAGCUUCCUCAUGUAGCUGCUUCUUGAAAAUAACAGUUUCUGUGGUACAAUCCCCCCUGAAAUUGGUCGUUUUCACAGGUUAUGGACACUCUGGUUGUUUAACAACUCUGUUCAAGGGGAAAUUCCAUCGAAUAUAUCUAGUUGUUAUAGUCUUAUUGGCUAAAUCUAGUACAUAACAACUUGUUAGGAGAAAUUUCACCCUCAGUUGGUUCUCUGUCACUAUUGCAACUUCUUUCUUUGUCGCAUAACAACUUGACAGGAAACAUUCCUGCAUCACUUGGAAAUUUAUAAACUCACCUUCAGCAGUAAUAACUUUUUCGGUAUGAUCUCAGAUAGCUUAGCAUCUUGACUUCCCUAGAUAACUUUGAUAUUGCUGAUUGUUGUUAGUUGGUGCCAGUAGAUAUUGGUUGUUUAAUAAAAUGAAAUAUGUUGGUCCCAUUGCUUGGGAUGGAAGAGGUGGGAGUGAUGAGUGACAGUCUAAGGAAAAUGUAAUGUUAUUAUAGUGUUGAUGGAAUUCCUGAUGUUGAUCUUGUUUGGCUUUGCUGUAAGUCUGAGUAUGCAAUCUAUAAACUGGAGGAGAUGGGACAGGUUUCAGAUAAAGAUAUUCUACUGAUAUGCAAGAAGUUCGAUCAGCUGGAUGCUGGCAGCUGUGGAAAAAUUACACUAGCAGAUCUUGUGCACGAUCAUCACCGAGAUUUAUUUUAGUAAUCAAAAUGAGGCUCUCUCUGCCUGUCAGAUGCUUUGAACUAAAUAUUGACAUAAUUAUGUUGUGUCGUAGGGCACAGAAGGUGAAAGGUGUUAGUCUUUUAUCUGUAGAUACACACCAGUUGUUUUUUUUAAUUUGGUUGCUGCUUUAUAUUCUGCAUUUAGUUGUUCUAGUUCCUUCAAUCCUCUACUCGAUGAUUACUUACUUUCGAAUUAAUUAUGUUUACUUAACAAGUUAUAUAUUUACAUUUUCAAUUGAACAAAAUGCAAAGUGUAUGAUAGUGUUCUAACUAUUCCUAUUGUAUGGUAAGAUACCAAGAUACCACU